AUUGAACGCUGGCGGCAUGCUUUACACAUGCAAGUCGAACGGUAACAGGCCUUCGGGUGCUGACGAGUGGCGAACGGGUGAGUAAUGCAUCGGAACGUGCCCAGAGGUGAGGGAUAACGCAGCGAAAGCUGUGCUAAUACCGCAUGUGAUCUGAGGAUGAAAGCGGGGGACCAAGCAGCAAUGUUUGGCCUCGCGCCUCUGGAGCGGCCGAUGUCAGAUUAGGUAGUUGGUGGGGUAAAGGCCUACCAAGCCGACGAUCUGUAGCUGGUCUGAGAGGACGACCAGCCACACUGGGACUGAGACACGGCCCAGACUCCUACGGGAGGCAGCAGUGGGGAAUUUUGGACAAUGGGCGCAAGCCUGAUCCAGCAAUGCCGCGUGCGGGAAGAAGGCCUUCGGGUUGUAAACCGCUUUUGUACGGAACGAAAAGGCUCUGGCUAAUACCUGGGGCUGAUGACGGUACCGUAAGAGUAAGCACCGGCUAACUACGUG
rnacentral:rRNA from 1 species